GGAGUAUGUCAGCCCCGUUUGAGGAGCGCAGUGGGGUGGUUCCGUGCGGAACGCCGUGGGGCCAGUGGUACCAGACCUUGGAGGAGGUGUUCAUUGAAGUUCAGGUGCCACCAGGCACUCGCGCCCAGGAUAUCCAGUGCGGCCUGCAGAGCCGGCAUGUGGCGCUGGCCGUGGGUGGCCGCGAGAUCCUCAAGGGCAAACUCUUUGACUCUACAAUAGCUGAUGAGGGAACAUGGACUCUGGAGGAUAGAAAAAUGGUCCGUAUUGUUCUUACAAAGACGAAGAGAGAUGCAGCAAAUUGUUGGACUUCUCUUCUAGAAUCUGAUUAUGCAGCUGAUCCUUGGGUGCAAGACCAAAUGCAGAGAAAACUUACAUUAGAGAGAUUCCAGAAAGAGGAACCUUACUGCCAUGGCCUUCUAGGUAUGUUUAGAAUUUGACUGCACGUCACCACCAUUCUGCCACCACUCUCACCUGGACCACCUCUAAAGUCUUGCUUAGAAUCCUGGUUUUGACUUCAGCGGAGCAGAAAUCUCAGGAAACUACACUAAGGGUGGACCAGAUUUCUCGAAUCUUGAGAAAUAACUGUGACCUUCUUGCUGCAUUUUGUGGAUCCUAGCAGAUGCUGCCAACUUAAUCAGAGGAACAGAUUAUGUGGUAGAAGAAAAAUGUGGAGACCUAGUUAACAAAUUGCAAAAUACAUUUAAAUAUGGUUCUAAAAAUUGCAUUCAAAUAUGAUUUACAUAGGAAACAUCUUAAAUACUGUGGGAACUAUUCUAUUGAUACAUGGUAACCUUUCUUUUGGACUUGUUUUUGCUCAGCAUGAUGUUUUAUAUGCUGCACUUUACUAAUUUCAUAUUUAGCCUGUAUUUUUAAUACAAAAAGUUUUAGGGUAUAGAUCAUGUAAAAUGACAGGGUGCCUUCAGGGAAAAUUAAGUUUUUCUUUCAAUAACUGUGA